rnacentral:lncRNA from 1 species
AUAUGAGCGUACAAAGAUUAGAAAUAUUAGUCACCGACUAAUAAAAUUUGGAUAUAAGAGAGCCGGAAUCAUCAAACUCAAUAUAAUCAGUGCGGAACAGUCAGUAACUCGUUCAUUUACACGGAGGCGCAAUUUUCACGCAGACUUUUGACAGGCAAAUUCAUUCGGUUGGCUUACAAUCGCAGUCUACAAAAUGGCAGUCAAAAAAAUCCUAGUGAUUGUUUUAGUUGCUAUUCUGGGUCUCGCAGGAGGAGUGUAUGCGGAGGAGUGCUCGAGCAAAAGAUGAGAGCGCAAAAAGCGAACUUCAAAAAUGUUUCAGGAAAAAAAGAAGAAAAGAAAGUGCGGAUACUUCAUUCCGACGCUUUGAAAUAUCCCAGAAAAAGUCUGACACCGUUCGUCCGUCAACUACACAUUCCACUUUUACGUGAAUGAAAUACACUUAUCCGAUUGAAAAAUUAGCAAGUCAAAAUUCCAUAUUGUUUAUUUCCUGCGGAUUAAAUAAAUGAGCAUACAUUUCUAAAUUGUAAUAAAUGAUUGUCGUUAAGUUACUGUGCAUUCUGUUAUUUUUACACUUUCACGUCUUUUGAAAUCAAGUCCUUUAGAUGAUUACAUUAGGCAAAAGUAAAACACAUAUAAGAGUAAUAAGACACAAAAAUAGCCCGAAUAAUUUAUCGAAACAAAACGCAAGAAAAUAGGAAAUAAAAGCUAAAAACAAACAGAAUGCCUGGGACGUUUCAGGUGGUUACAACCCUCGAUCCCCUCAACCAGGAAACGGAAAAUACAAAAAUGUGAAAAUAUAAAAACCCUUCAGAUCCUAUUCGUGAUAAGCUUUUUGUGAAUCUUUCGUGUCAUUACAAAAAUGGAUCUGAGAGAAUUUUUGAUUUUGAUAUUUUUACAGGGAGUUGAAAGUUGAAACCACCCCGCAACAUCCCAUGCAUUCGCUAGUUUUUAUCCUUGGGUUCCUAGAUUUGUUAUAUUCUUAUUGUUCGUCAAGAGUGGUGAAUAGAAAAUUGUGUCGCAUUCAUUAAUGCUGUCUUAGAAAUUCGUGGCACCAAAAUCACGGAUGGUUUCAAAUUUUUGGCAAAUCUCGGUUCAUUUUUUUUUUUUUGGCCAAGUCAAAAAAUUCCCUGAAAUCAUCGCAAGAAAAAUUUACGAAUAGCAAUGCGUGCACAUGCAGCAUGGCUGAAAAACUUUGCAACGUAUCGACGUGACGAAAAAAUGUUCGAGUUAGAAAAAUAAUUUUUCAGACUUUUCACGCUUGAGUGUAAUUGUAUGACUUUGAUCAUGUAUAACCCGGUCAUUAAAACUAUACGGACUUCUUGCCGAUUAUACGAACUGAACACAACCCGUAGACACCCUAAAAAUUAAGACCGUACACAGAUUAAACUGCCCAUAGAAGGAUACCAUAAUACUACCGUGCAAAGGAAAAACGCCAGAAGAACAUUCGAGAGUUGCCAAAUUUCCUCCGAUAUUUUAAGGAGUGUAAGAAUUUUCUCUCGAAAUUUUCAGACAAUUUAGAUUUCUCUGCUUCGCACUGAGGAGGUGUUUAGGGGAGAUAUGUUUUCUCUCCUAGCACAGUUAUUGCUUAGGAACGGAUUAGUUCCUCUCUUAAGCACCAAGUACUUGCUCAGGAGAGAAAACAUGCCUAUCGAAAACAACUACUCAAUGCAGAGGAGAGACUU